UACGAAGGGGGCUAGCGUUGUUCGGAUUUACUGGGCGUAAAGCGCACGUAGGCGGUUUGUUAAGUCAGGGGUGAAAUCCCGGAGCACAACUCCGGAACUGCCUUUGAUACUGGCAAGCUAGAGUCCGGAAGAGGUAAGUGGAACUCCUAGUGUAGAGGUGGAAUUCGUAGAUAUUAGGAAGAACACCAGUGGCGAAGGCGGCUUACUGGACCACAACUGACGCUGAUGCACGAAAGCUAGGGGAGCAAACAGG
rnacentral:rRNA from 1 species